UCACUUAACUGGCAAGGAAGAUACCGUGAUCAGGAAGGCGGUAUUCCCAGGGUGAGGUUUAUCCAUUGCACCAUAAAUAUGCUCACUUUAUGUCUUUGUGUUGCCUUUUGGUC
ensembl:snRNA U1 U1 spliceosomal RNA